rnacentral:sRNA from 1 species
CAAUGAUUCUUCCACAGUGACACUUCCUGAAGCCUUUGUAGUCUCGCAAGAGAUAGCCUACGCGACUCAAAAUAAGAGGCAGUGCAAGUCAGCCUAUAGGGCUGGCAACAUAAUCGAAUUGCGGGGAUCUCCUAAAGCCUAAUGGUACCAACUGCUCUGUGGAAACACGAGUAGGGCCUGUGUUAAUCUCACAGGGAAAGGUAAAAAUCUAUUAGGAUAUCACAAUGGAUUAUCCGCAGCGAAGCCCCUACCAGUGAAAGCUCACGGGGAACGUUCACAGACUAAGUGAUUAUGGACAGGUCUACGAUCUGCUUAAGAUAUAGUCGGGCCUCUAGUGAAAAUUAGAGGGCUAAGUCAUUAAAUUACUCAUAAACCGUUCCGUAGGUGAACCUGCGGAAGGAUCAUUACAGAGUUCUUGCCCCCCGGGGUAGACCUCCCACCCUUGAAUACAAUACUAUUGUUGCUUUGGCGAGCCGCCGCAAGGCAUCGGCUUCGGCUGACUGCCCGCCAAAGGACCCAAUUCUUUUGUUUAGUAAUGUCUGAGUACUAUUUUAAUAGUUAAAACUUUCAACAACGGAUCUCUUGGUUCUGGCAUCGAUGAAGAACGCAGCGAAAUGCGAUAAGUAAUGUGAAUUGCAGAAUUCAGUGAAUCAUCGAAUCUUUGAACGCACAUUGCGCCCUUUGGUAUUCCGAGGGGCAUGCCUGUUCGAGCGUCAUUAGUACCAAAUCAAGCUCGGCUUGGUGUUGGGGUUCGCUAUUCAGCGGCCCUUAAACUCAGUGGCGGUGCUGCCGAGCUCUAAGCGUAGUAAUUUUCUCGCUAUAGAGUCUCGGGAGAUGUCUGCCAUAACUCUUAUAACUGGGUUGACCU